rnacentral:lncRNA from 1 species
GUCCCAUGUUCAUUUGAUUUGAUUUUUUGUCCAAUACAAGAAUAUAUAUGGCUUACGGGUGGGGAUCUCCACCAUUUACAAGUAUUCAAACAGGAGGGGGUGGUGGUAACCCCCAGAGACUUUUCCUACAUUUCAUUUGAUUUGUUUUAUUGUCCCAUACAAGAAUAUAUGUGGUUUAGGGGUGGGGAUGUUGACCGUUUACAAGUUUUCAAACAAGAGGGGGUGGGGUGACCCCCUCGGGACUUCCCUUUUAUUUCAUUUCAUUUGUUUUAUUGUCCCCUACAAGAAUAAAUAUGGUUUAGGGGUGGGGAUCUGGACCAUUUACAAGAUAAUAGCACUUUCUCAAAUUGAACGGGGUGGGGUGACCCCCAGGAACUUCCAUUUAACUUCAUUUGAUUAGUUUUAUUGUCCCAUACAAGAAUAGAUAUGGUUUAGGGGUGGGGAUGUUGACCGUUUACAAGUUUUCAAACAAGAGGGGGUGGGGUGAGCCCCUAGGGACAUCACUUUUAUUUCAUUUCAUUUGUUUUAUUGUCCCCUACAAAAAUAUAUAUGGUUUAGGGGUGGGGAUCUGGACUGUUUACAAGAUAAUAGCACAUUCUCAAAUUGAACGGGGUGGGGAUGACCCCGGGGACUUCCCUUUAAUUUCAUUUGAUUUGUUUUAUCGUCCCAUUCAAGAAUAUAUAUGGUUUAGGGGUGGGGAUCUGGACCGUUUACAAGAUAAAAGCAUAUUCUCAAAUUGAAGGGGGUGGGAAUGACCCCCCAGGGACUCCCCCUAUAUUUCAUGUGAUUUGUUUUAUUGUCCUAUAAUCAUUUCUGAAGACUGCAUGUAUCUAUCGCUUACAGUUUUCAAGUUAUAUUCAUUUGAAAAUUUUAGAAAAUAAAAUCCCAUAGGGUUCUAUAGUAAACCCCUCCCUCCUUUCUACCCCCAAAAUACCCCUUUAUAGACCCCAAUGCACAAACGAAACAUUGAUGGCUCACCUAGACAUGUUAGUCUAACAUAUUGUAAAAUCCUAAGUAAAUCUGACAAGCCG